rnacentral:rRNA from 1 species
ACGCUCGACACCUACGGGAGCAGCAGUCGGGAAUAUUGCGCAAUGGAGGAAACUCUGACGCAGUGACGCCGCGUGCAGGAAGAAGGUUUUCGGAUUGUAAACUGCUUUAGACAGGGAAGAAAGAAAUGACAGUACCUGUAGAAUAAGCUCCGGCUAACUACGUGCCAGCAGCCGUGGUAAUCUGAGCGGGCUGGCAAGGC